CGGUGAAUACGUUCCCAGGCCUUGUACACACCGCCCGUCAAGCCAUGGAAGCUGGGUGUACCUAAAGUCGGUAACCGUAAGGAGCCGCCUAGGGUAAAACUAGUGACUGGGGCU
rnacentral:rRNA from 1 species